rnacentral:rRNA from 1 species
AGAAUUUUUCUCAAUGGGGGAAACCCUGAAGGAGCGACGCCGCGUGGGGGAUGAAUGGCUUCGGCCCGUAAACCCCUGUCAUUUGCGAACAAACCUUUCUGCCUAACAUGCGGAAAGCUGAUUGUAGCGACAGAGGAAGGGACGGCUAACUCUGUGCCAGCAGCCGCGGUAAUACAGAGGUCCCAAGCGUUGGUCGGAUUCACUGGGCGUAAAGGGUGCGUAGGCGGUCGGGUAAGUCUGAUGUGAAAUCUUCGAGCUCAACUCGAAAACGGCAUUGGAUACUAUUCGGCUUGAGGUCUGGAGGGGGGACUGGAAUUCUCGGUGUAGCAGUGAAAUGCGUAGAUAUCGAGAGGAACACCAGUGGCGAAGGCGAGUCCCUGGACAGGUCCUGACGCUGAGGCACGAAAGCUAGGGGAGCAAAC